rnacentral:rRNA from 1 species
UACGUAGGGUGCAAGCGUUAAUCGGAAUUACUGGGCGUAAAGCGUGCGCAGGCGGUUUUGUAAGUCUGUCGUGAAAUCCCCGGGCUCAACCUGGGAAUGGCGAUGGAGACUGCAAGGCUAGAAUCUGGGCAGAGGGGGGUAGAAUUCCACGUGUAGCAGUGAAAUGCGGUAGAGAUGUGGAGGAACACCGAUGGCGCAAGGCAGCCCCCUGGGU